rnacentral:lncRNA from 1 species
GACCGACACAUAUCAUAUUUUUAGGACAUGAUUUUAUACUUAUUGGACAUUUAUAUUACCAUUUAUGUUUAAGUGUCCAUGAAUCAUUUAAGGGAUUAACAAGAUGAUGACACAUAUUCUUAAAGAGUUGAAAACUUGAGAUAUGUAUCAUUGAUGGUUAAUUCCUAAAUUACUCCUGAUCAUAGGAUCAUCAUGGGGAUGGUUAUUGAUCUAGAUAGAUCAGUGCAUGG